UUUGAUCAGAUGUGAACUGACCAGGGCAGCUGGGCAACCCUGAGGAAGCAACAAUGGGGAUUGAUGUCAUGCUGCACGAGAAGUGCUCAAGGGCAGAGAGUGGUACAUAAGAAACACUAUUUGAUAGAGGAGAUCGUUUACAUACAUAUAACAAUCAAUUUGUGAGAGCGAUCAGUCCUUCUGUUGAACAUCUGCAGCUAAAAAAACAAGGCUACGAAGCAUAACUGAAGACAGGAGGCUGUAACAGAGUGCUAUGUACUCACAAUGUUGAAGAAAUCACUUACCAUUUGUUCUUCAGCUGUCUUUUUAGUGUCAGAUGUUGGAACUCCUUGGCAAUUGCUUGGGAUCAAACAGUCAGCUUCUUUGCAAUGAUUCAGGAAGCAAAAGGGGGCCACCUAAUAAGUAGCAAAAACAAGAGAAACGUGGCAACGCCGCAGGUUCUAUCUAGUCAUGGUGUUCGGUUCCACAACUAACCAGGUUCAUCGCAGCUGGUCCCAUCGUAAAAAAUGAGGUUCCUGAACAAAGCUUGCAUGGUGUGGACCCAACCAGUAAGUGAUACAAGCAAUGAAGACAACACAAGUUCAUGGAGCACCUGCACAGUGGAGCAAGUAGAGAACCUCAAGUCUGCUCUAAGCGUUAUGCCUAUAUGGUCAGCCAUGGUAAUGUCCUUCCUGGUCCAGAGCUCAUCCUUUGGGAUUCUGCAAGCAACCACCAUGGACCACCGAAUCGGCACAACAAGGUUCCAGAUACGCGCAGGUUCCAUCUCAAUCUUCGAGAUCAUUACCUUCCCGGUCAGGUUGCUACGAUCCGUACAUCCUCCCGCUUCUUAGGAGGGUCACCAGGCGGCAGCGCGUGCUCACGCUCAAGCAGCGCAUGUGUAUCGGCAUGUUCCUGGCCAUCGUGUCCAUGGCAAUGGCGUCGGCGGUGGAGGCUCGAAGGAGGGAGACCGCGGGGAGGCAAGUGUUAGUGUCGGAAUUUGGCAAUCCCGUAUGACACAAGAAUCCAUUCUGAAUAACUUUUAUAGCGAUACACGACUUGUUUACGGGCAAAUAAGUAAAGGAUUUCGAUCGGUAACCAUGAGAGCAGUUGCUCGGAUGAUUUACAAAUAAAUUGACAAAGAACUAUUACUUAAAUAGUGAGGAUUCAAAGUAGUAACGAAGAACUAUCUUAAAAGUAUCUUAAUGUGUAGGAAAGUAAAUGAGAACAAAAAUAGAUAUAAUUGUUACAAUUGAUUGAGUUGUUGUAAUUAGUCUCUACAUCUACGAAUCUAACUUGAUUCGGACUCGGACUGAGCAUUGGAUGAUUCAGUGAGAACAAAAAUGAUAAUGUGAGAUUCAGUGA